rnacentral:rRNA from 1 species
AUUGAACGCUGGCGGCAGGCCUAACACAUGCAAGUCGGACGGUAGCACAGAGGAGCUUGCUCCUCGGGUGACGAGUGGCGGACGGGUGAGUAAUGUCUGGGGAUCUGCCCGAUAGAGGGGGAUAACCACUGGAAACGGUGGCUAAUACCGCAUAACGUCGCAAGACCAAAGAGGGGGACCUUCGGGCCUCUCACUAUCGGAUGAACCCAGAUGGGAUUAGCUAGUGGGCGGGGUAAUGGCCCACCUAGGCGACGAUCCCUAGCUGGUCUGAGAGGAUGACCGGCCACACGGGAACUGAGACACGGUCCAGACUCCUACGGGAGGCAGCAGUGGAGAAUAUUGCACAAUGGGCGCAAGCCUGAUGCAGCCAUGCCGCGUGUAUGAAGAAGGCCUUCGGGUUGUAAAGUACUUUCAGCGGGGAGGAAGGCGGUGAGGUUAAUAACCUCGCCGAUUGACGUUACCCGCAGAAGGAGCACCGGCUAACUCCGUGCCAGCCGCCGCCGUAA